rnacentral:rRNA from 1 species
UACGUAGGGCGCAAGCGUUGUCCGGAAUUAUUGGGCGUAAAGAGCUCGUAGGCGGCUUGUCACGUCGGGUGUGAAAGCCCGGGGCUCAACCCCGGGCCUGCAUUCGAUACGGGCAGACUAGAGUUCGGUAGGGGAGUCUGGAAUUCCUGGUGUAGCGGUGAAAUGCGCAGAUAUCAGGAGGAACACCGGUGGCGAAGGCGGGACUCUGGGCCGAUACUGACGCUGAGGAGCGAAAGCGUGGGGAGCAAACAGG